rnacentral:misc_RNA from 1 species
GAUGAAGAACGUAGCGAAAUGCGAUAAGUAGUGUGAAUUGCAGAAUUCAGUGAAUCAUCGAAUCUUUGAACGCACAUUGCGCCCCCCGGCAUUCCGGGGAGCAUGCCUGUUCGAGCGUCUCUUGGAAUACCCCUCACGCCGGCGGAGGCGUGGUCAUGGCGGCGGUGGCGUGCCCCGAGAGGGAGGCCACCGCGCUGGAAUCCAUGGGCGGACGCCUGCCGCGUGGCCGAGCGUGAUAAGACGCACUGGCGCUCGCGCGCGGCGAGGCUGCCGGCCCUGGCCCGCUCGUCGGGCGGGGACAGCAACACUUGGGAACUCCUCGAAUCAGGUAGGGAUACCCGCUGAACUUAAGCAUAUCAAUAAGCGGAGGA